CGCUGGACCUCGGAGAAAGCUGCGUCCACGGCGUCCCCAUUGCUCACGGCGGCCGGCCUCCUGCAGACCGAGAAAUGGGGCCGUGAGCCAGGAGGGCGAGACAGCUGGCUCCUCGAAGCCUCGGGCAGCUCCUCACCAGAAAGAGAGAGCACUCAGCGUAGACAUAGAGUCAGAGACACAAGUUCAAGUCCUUGUCCUGGAGGAAUCGUAACACCCAGCACCAAGGCAUCUCCACUAGAGGACACAGAAGGCCCUGGAUAAUUUCUUAAGGUGACAUCGAGAACGGAUGUGGGUAUUUGCGGGUGAAGUCAGAUGGCUUUAGAAUGGACCUGGAAAUAUUUUAUGACAUACUAAAAGCCACGAUUGGGUUGAAAAUAUGAGCUCCUGUUUUGCACAUUAUCAAAACACAGUGAACU